UCAACGGCUGAGCUUUCACCA
rnacentral:snRNA from 1 species